CCUACGGUGGGCAGCAGUAAGGGAUAUUGGUCAAUGGGGGAAACCCUGAACCAGCAACGCCGCGUGAGGGAAGACGGUUUUCGGAUUGUAAACCUCUGUCCUCUGUGAAGAAUAAUGACGGUAGCUAAGGAGCAAGCCACGGCUAACUACGUGCCAGCAGCCGCGGUAAUACGUAGGUGGCAAGCGUUGUCCGGAAUUACUGGGUGUAAAGGGAGCGCAGGCGGGAAGCCAAGUCAGCUGUGAAAACUACGGGCUUAACUUGUAGACUGCAGUUGAAACUGGUUUUCUUGAGUGAAGUAGAGGUUGGCGGAAUUCCGAGUGUAGCGGUGAAAUGCGUAGAUAUUCGGAGGAACACCGGUGGCGAAGGCGGCCAACUGGGCUUUAACUGACGCUGAGGCUCGAAAGUGUGGGGAGCAAACAGGAUUAGAUACCCUUGUAGUC
rnacentral:rRNA from 1 species